rnacentral:rRNA from 1 species
GACGAACGCUGGCGGCGUGCCUAAUACAUGCAAGUAGAACGAGUUGCGAACGGGUGAGUAACGCGUGGUAACCUGCCUCAUAGCGGGGGAUAACUAUUGGAAACGAUAGCUAAUACCGCAUACUGUGAGAUGACGCUGCGUUGUAUUAGCUAGUUGGUGAGGUAAAGGCUCACCAAGGCGACGAUACAUAGCCGACCGGAGAGGGUGAUCGGCCACACUGGAACUGAUACACGGUCCAGACUCCGACGGGAGGCAGCAGUGGGGAAUAUUGCACACUGGGCGCAAGCCUGAUGCAGCCAUGCCGCGUGUAUGAAGAAGGCCUUCGGGUUGUAAAGUACUUUCAGCGGGGAGGCGUUACCCGCAGAAGAAGCACCGGCUAACUCCGUGCCAGCAGCCGCGGUAAUAC